CACGUAGUUAGCCGUGGCUUAUUCGACAGGUACCGUCUUCUGCUCUUCCCUGUCAAAAGAAGUUUACAACCCGAAAGCCUUCUUCCUUCACGCGGCGUUGCUGGGUCAGGCUUUCGCCCAUUGCCCAAUAUUCCCCACUGCUGCCUCCCGUGGGAGUCUGGGCCGUAUCUCAGUCCCAAUGUGGCCGGCCAACCUCUCAGUCCGGCUACUGAUCGUCGCCUUGGUAGGCCGUUACCCUACCAACUAGCUAAUCAGACGCGAGGCCAUCUCUCAGCGAUAAAUCUUUGGUACAGAUACCAUGCGAUACCCGUACGUUAUGCGGUAUUAGCAGUCGUUUCCAACUGUUGUCCCCCACUGAAAGGCAGGUUCCUCACGCGUUACUCACCCGUCCGCCACUAAGCAUUCUUUUCCAUUGACCGAAGUCUCUUUCGAAGGUGCUCCGUUCGACUUGCAUGUGUUAAGCACGCCGCAGCGUUCGUCCUGAGCCAGGAUCAAACUCU
rnacentral:rRNA from 1 species